CCUACGGGUGGCAGCAGUGGGGGAUAUUGCACAAUGGGGGGAACCCUGAUGCAGCGACGCCGCGUGGGUGAAGGAGCGUUUCGGCGCGUAAAGCCCUAUCGGCAGGGAAGAAGGAGGACGGUAUCUGACUAAGAAGCCCCGGCUAACUACGUGCCAGCAGCCGCGGGAAUACGUAGGGGGCAAGCGGUAUCCGGAUUUACUGGGUGUAAAGGGGGCGCAGACGGCAGCGCAAGCCAGGAGUGAAAGCCCGGGGCCCAACCCCGGGACUGCGCUUGGAACUGCGCGGCUGGAGUGCGGGAGGGGCAGGCGGAAUUCCUGGUGUAGCGGUGAAAUGCGUAGAUAUCAGGAGGAACACCGGUGGCGAAGGCGGCCUGCUGGACUGCGACUGACGUUGAGGCCCGAAAGCGUGGGGAGCAAACAGGAUUAGAUACCCUUGUAGUC
rnacentral:rRNA from 1 species